CUCGGCUCACUGCAAGCUCUGCCUCCUGGUUUCACACCAUUCUCCUGCCUCAGCCUCGUGAGUAGCUGGGACUACAGGUGCCUGUCACCAUGCCUGACUGAUUUUUUUUGUAUUUUUAGUAGAGGUGGGGUUUCAACAUGUUAGCCAGGAUGGUCUCGAUCUCCUGACCUCAUGAUCCGCCUGCCUCGGCCUCCCAAAGUGCUGGGAUUACAGGCAUGAGCCACAGUGCCCGGCCUAAGAGUAUGUGUAUCUUAUAGACCACAUCCUGGAUUGGUAGUUACAGAAGGUUUACUCCUUGGGCAGUGUUGGACUCUUGAGGAAGUAGCAGGUGGAGGAUGAAGUUUGGGGACUUUGUGCCUCUUACAUUUACGCCUGCUUUUUAAUGUAGCAUGAUAACAAAAUGUCAUGCUAUUGGUGAUGGAUGGGUAAGGUACCUAAUAACAGUAAGUUUGGCUUAGGAGAGGUAAACCAUUUUAAGUCAAUCAGUAUAUAAUGGAUCUAAGAAGGAGAGAGAGGGUGACAUUCAGUCUAUCAUAAAACUGGAUGGAUGUGCCACAUAGGAAAAAAAGUUGUCAUUUAACAGUGAGUGUGGGGAAAAAAAAACAAAGUUUAUUAGUGUUUAUGUAGGCAUUAUUUAUUUGGGGACCGUAUCCUAAGGCAGGCAUAUUCUCACAAUGGAAAUGGAUGCAGUGUGAUGCCAUGAACUUUUGAAACCAGUAAAUCCCUUUGUUGUGAUUCCAAAUUUACUCAGCACAUAUCUGAUUAUUAUCUGUUCUCUAGUGUAGUUUAUCUAGUGAGACAGAUUACAUUGACCAGAGGAGUUCAGUAUUCAGUCUUCUUGGUGGUUAUUUUCUUGUAAAUUAAUAAUACUGAUAAUAUGCUAUUUUGCUUUUUUAUAAUUGAUUGUCUUUAACUUUGCCCUGAAGCAUUUUUCCUGAUCAACUCUAGACCAUGAUAGAGCCUUUGGGCCUCAGGGCUAAUGAUCUUACCUCGAACCACCAGUCAGUGAGGUGUCUGGGAAAACCUUUUCCUGGUGAUGUCUCAUCUUUUCCUUCUGCAGUCACCAAUAUCGUAUUUACUGUGUCAUGAUGCUAGGGUUUGUACUGGCUUGUUUACUUUUCAUGAUUUAUCUUAUUGUGUGAUCAUUUGUGUAACACUUAAAAAAAUUAGUAGGACUGUUAAAAUAGUUUUUUCCCCCCAUUAAAAGUGGAAUGACACCGUUUAGCUUCUGAAGACUUCGGCUUUAACUGGUUUUUAUUUUGAGCUGGGUAUUAAAGGAGAAUUAUGAUAGGGUAAACAUAAUUAGUGAUACCUGGUUGCCCCAAGCAUCGAUAAUAUUUGAUACUACAUACAUAAGUAGAUAUCUAUUUUGUGAUAAUAUACCUUAGUUUCAUUGGAUAAAACCAGAAGAAGAAAAAAUGUGCAAGCAGCUUGGUUACUGCCUAAGCUGCAGCAGUUCUGAGAGCCUACUGUUGUCAUUUUUAAUGGACAGCCUUGUACUUCCAUAGGUUGGUUAAUCUUAAAGACCAGAUGGUAGUUGUAUUGUAAUUUCAUAAAGAUUUUAUGUCCUGUGUUUUGCUAUCAACUAGAAGUAUGAGAAUUUAGGCAAGUUAUAUUAAGACAUAUAAAUAAUAAAAGUUGGUGAAUCAUUUUAUCUAACAACUUACUGAUAUUACUCAACACAAGGAGAAAACUUAGAAAAUGGACCUUAACACCAUUGUCUACUACAAAGAGAGUAUAGAGGAGGCAGGAAAAACAGAGAGCACACAAUAACAUGAUAGUUAUAAAUCCGGGUGUCAGUAAUUACAAUAAAUGUAAAUAGACUAGAGGAUUCUGCUAAAAGGCAGGUCAGAUUGGAUUAAAGACAUCUGACAUACUAGGUUUACAAGAAGCGUAUCUAAAAACAAAGAUACAGAAGGCAAAAUAAUGGAAAAUUAUAUUUCAGGCUUUAAGCAAAAUAAAGCUGGUAUAACAUGUUGAUAUCAGACAAAAUAGAAAUCAAGGCAAAAGGCAUUAGAGAUGAAGAGGAUCACUGUACAGUGGUAAAAGGUUCAGUUCAGAUAUAGGUACAUAUUAUAUAAAGCAAAAA
ensembl:lncRNA